GAUGAACGCUGGCGGCGUGCCUAAUACAUGCAAGUAGAACGCUGAAGGAGGAGCUUGCUCUUCUGGAUGAGUUGCGAACGGGUGAGUAACGCGUAGGUAACCUGCCUGUUAGCGUGGGAUAACUAUUGGAAACGAUAGCUAAUACCGCAUGACAACACUUAUUGCAUGAUAACUGUUUAAAAGUUUCAACUGCUCCACUACGAGAUGGACCUUCGUUGCAUUAGCUAGUUGGAGCGGUAACUGCUCACUAAGGCGACGAUACAUAGCGGAACGGAGAGGGUGAGCAGCCACACUGGGACUGAGACAGGGCACAGAGUCCUUCGGGAGGCAGCAGGAGGGCUUCGGCGGGAAGGGGCGGAAGUCUUUGCGCGAAACGCCGAGGGAGGGAAGAGGGAUGUCGGGUCGGAAAGGACUGUUGUCGGAGAAGAACGAGUGUGAGAGUGGAAAGAUGACACUGUGACGGUAAUUGACCAGGAAGGGACGGCUAACUACGUG
rnacentral:rRNA from 1 species